rnacentral:lncRNA from 1 species
GGGAAAGAAAACGAAAGACUACACCACAACCAUUCGAUGAUAAUCCUCAACAUAAUAGGAAUGGAAUCCAGAACUGUAGGAUAGUAGUUCCCUUGAUGGCCCAAACCAGCCAAGAAGUCAGCACUUGUAUUUGCUUCACGGUAGACAUGGGUAAGAAGAGUGGUCCAAGAGUCCUAAUGGAGGGAUUGCUUGAUAUCCUAC